rnacentral:lncRNA from 1 species
AUGUACCACGAGUGCCUGAGAGUCCAGUCUUCCCCAAGAAGAGACAAGCACGAAGAUCCUAGGAGGAAGCACGCUGACGGGGACUAGUCACGGCCACGACACCUCUAGUGUCAGGUGAGAAACGUGACUCACAGGGCAGGGGAGGAACAGCUGCUUUCUCUGGCCCUGGUGUGCCCAGCAGCAAACCACUGGCAUCUGCUCCCAGGGCAGCCCUGUGGCCCCUCGAGCUGCUGUGUAACCAGCUCCUCUGGGAAAGCACAAGCCCUUGGAAUGCUCUCCAGCUCCCUUGUGAGUAAUUUUCGAGAAGAACACAACUUUGCCAAGAACAUCCCGCAAUCUGGGUGUCUUGUCUUUGAAGACUUUGGAAAAUUUGGAUGACGUGCCUAGCGCCAUAAUUUAUACUUCAGUAGGCCGGUCUUCAUCAAUGCAAUGGAAUCAUCCAUGUGUGGCUCCCGAGGAAAGAAGGUGUGGUUUACUGCCAGGUGCUCUUCAGAGCUGAGUCCCUCUAACAGCAGGCCUGUUAAGGCGUGGCUGCGGCCUGAACCCUCCGGCUGAGCCUUUGCCUCCCAGGUUCCUGGACAUCCUCCACUCACUCCUCUGUUUGUGGGACCCUGCCUGGCCUGUCUGAUCCUCCUUGAGAUUUUGGCCCACAUAUAUCAAUUUCUCUCUGCCCCCAUGCAGUGGUAGUCACCGUUCUGUCCCCCGCGGGUGCUGGUGAGAAAGGUAAAAGGGCGGUUCCAGAGCCUGAGGGCCUGUGAGUGCAGUUUACAUAACUGCCGAAACUUAAGGAAGCGUCUAAAUAAAAAGAAACAUGUUAACCCAAAAUGGUUUAUUUGUUUUUUUUUUUUUUUUGGUUUCCAGAGCUCAUGCAAACAUGCAAAAAAUAGAGUAAGAAAAAAGCAAUUCUUCUCACAAAACAAGCAAGCAAAUAAAAACAAAGCAAAAAAAAAAAUCAUCUGGUGAAAACAAACCCUGCUCCGCAGCCACCUGCCCAACCGUGGAAAUUCAGGUCACGUGAUGGCCUGGGCUGUGUGUCCUCCUCUCAGGCCUGGCGACCCUGGAUCCCAACAGGCAGGGUCUCCUCCACUGGGCCAGGGGCCUCUUAGGCUUUUGCGAUUGACAUCAGCGACUUCUCUCUUGCCUGGACACCCAGGAGACAGCUGGCUAGGAUGCCUAAGGAGACUGUGGGGGAUGAGGUCAGGGCACUCUGGUGCGGGGAUGCCGAGGUCGAACCCUCCAUGGCCAGGGCAGCCAUGUAGCUCCCUCUGGCCUGCAGGGGAGGGUGAGCAGACUCAGGCCUGGGCAAGCGUGUGGUGCCACAGGGCAGCAGGGGUGUGAGUUGCAAGGUCACCUGUGGCUCUGGGCUGCUUUUCCACAGCCAGAGAAGGUUUGGACUCAGUGGCCCAGAGUCUUGAACGAUGGUGCCCCUCCCCAACUUUGCGUGCACUUCAUCUUGUGGGUACAAAGAAGCAUUUUCUUUCUUGUUUUUCAACUUACUCUUCCUCGUGAUUCUGCUAGCAAACAGCCAGGGGUGCUGGCCCGGGCGCUUGGCCGCGCGUGUGUUUGCUGGAGAUGAAGCCUCUCCCUGCAGUUCCAGCCACCGUGCAGCCCACUGGUUUCUUCCCCCUAGGGUGACUGCUUUCCUACAAACAGGAUUUCAUGGCACGCACUCCCAUUUUAUAUUUCAGUCCUCAAAUGGCACAACUAAGUCAGUCUUAGUAAAGGAAAGACAGAUCCAAUUAUUUGGAUAACAGAGAGCGGUGUUGUUCACGUUCAUGCAAAUCAGGCCUCUGGACUCCAUAAGGUUACCUUAAAACCGAAGGAAUGAAGCAAAGAACAAAACAAAACACCAGGGACCUCUGAAGUUCACACAAAAUCCCAGACAGGAACGGGGGGAGCUGCCCACCCUGGAUUGAGGGGAGAGUUUAUUUCUCAAUCUCCUUUUGUUUGCCUGAAGAGCUUCCAAAUGAUCUUAAGAAAGACAGAAGGAAAGAAAAAAGGCAGAGGAGAGGGAGGAAGUAAACCAAAGGAAAAGAAGGCACCCAGAGAUGUCCUUAGAGGGAGCUAUUUACAUCUGAGGCCUAGGUGGUUUGCUUUUAAGAACUCCCUACUAUUUCAUAUUGAUUUAGCACCAGCAGUAAGUGAGCUUCUGUUUGGAUGAUGAAAGCCUAAGAGAUUAAAUCUAUUUACAGGAAGUGAUGGCCUCCACAUUUCUAAUAUUUGUCUAAAGCACCGGGGAAAGGCUGGAGGGAGGGCCUUGGUUUCAGGAUACAGCGUGAGUCAUCCUGGGCAGUAGGCGCUCCCAAAUGGAAUUGCAUCUGAGGCUUUAACACUCUUGUUCCAGUGCUGCGGUUCUUAAUGAGUUGGUGGUGAACACAAGCCUUUGUGGGCCCUGCCUGGCCCAUGCCUUGGUCCUGCCAGAGGCUGGCCAGGAUCUGGAAAGACAGAAUGAGAUCUAGCUCCAACCCCAGAUGCACCCUGCCUCCCUGGGGUGCUGCCUUGCAUCCCUCCCUUUCACCCUGGGCAUUCUCGUCUCUGUCACUGUCAUCGUGCAUUCAUCUGGUGCCGACUUGUGUGUCACGUGUGUUUCAGGGUAACACUGUAGACUCUGUCUAGUGUUGUCUCUCCUUGUUCUUUUCCCCCAUGAUGACUAAUUCAGCCAGGACACCACAGCUAAGGAUUUUUGCACUCUAAAGAACUACCUGAGACUGGGCAAUCUAUAACGAAAAGAGGUUUAAUUGAUUCACAGUUCCACAUGGCUGGAGAGACCUCAGGAAGCUUACAAUCAUG